GUGGGGAAUCUUAGACAAUGGGGGCAACCCUGAUCUAGCCAUGCCGCGUGAGUGAUGAAGGCCUUAGGGUUGUAAUGCUCUUUCAGUGGGGAAGAUAAUGACGGUACCCACAGAAGAAGCCCCGGCUAACUCCGUGCCAGCAGCCGCGGUAAUACGGAGGGGGCUAGCGUUGUUCGGAAUUACUGGGCGUAAAGCGCACGUAGGCGGAUCGGAAAGUUGGGGGUGAAAUCCCAGGGCUCAACCCUGGAACUGCCUUCAAAACUAUCGGUCUGGAGUCCGAGAGAGGUGAGUGGAAUUCCGAGUGGAGAGGUGAAAUUCGUAGAUAUUCGGAGGAACACCAGUGGCGAAGGCGGCUCACUGGCUCGGUACUGACGCUGAGGUGCGAAAGCGUGGGGAGCAAACAGGAUUAGAAACCCGUGUAGUCC
rnacentral:rRNA from 1 species